UACGGAGGAUGCGAGCGUUAUCCGGAUUUAUUGGGUUUAAAGGGUGCGUAGGCGGCUUUUUAAGUCAGCGGUGAAAUUUUGCAGCUUAACUGUAACAGUGCCGUUGAUACUGGGGAGCUAGGGUUUGGUUGCUGUGGGUGGAAUGUGUGGUGUAGCGGUGAAAUGCUUAGAGAUCACACAGAAUAUCGAUUGCGAAGGCAGCUCACAAAGCCAAGAUUGACGCUGAGGCACGAAAGUGUGGGGAUCAAACAGGAUUAGA
rnacentral:rRNA from 1 species